CUCCUUUUAUUCUAAAAUCUUAUUUUAAAUAUUCUGGCUUUAAAAUUGGCUCAUUGAAUUCGAAACGAUCAGUGACUUUUCUGCGGCCUUACCAAACUUUUCGCCAUUUUUACGUGUUUGGCGCCAAGGACACCCACCGCGCGCGCGUUCGUAUCGGCCGUUUGACCCGCACAGAAGCACCGUAGCUUAUACAAAAUAAUAUACAACCAUAACAACAAAAUGUACAUAUAUAAAAACUUCAUAAUAUACUUAAACUUCAGAGGUUUGCCCUUUGUUGGUUUAGUUGCAACUUGUUAAAACACAAGGUCAGUGAGCUCUCUUUAUAUAUAACUGGAGUACUACCUUUAAUCAAUUGCCCAAAUGAAAAGUCAAAGAUGGCUGAUAUUGAUUUGGACGCCAGUUUCGCUCCACUCAUACACUCUAAAACCUUCUGGUUUAUCUAGAAAUAACCCUAUGUGGGUUAACCUGAUAUUCCUGGUUCAAUAGGCAAUUCCAUCUUUUAAUUUAUGCGCGCAGGGGGAGGAUGGGAAGUAAGGCAUCAUAUUGCUGACUAUGCUAAAAAAAUAAAAAUGGCGGCCGUGUAAACACGGAGUGAUAGCUUAUACUUGUAAAUAUUGAAAUAUUUCGGUUGUUUCGGCAAUUUGUAUUGAAAUUUUUCAGCAUGAUCAGCAAUAUGAUACCUUACUUCCCAUAAUUCCCUGCGUGCAUAAAUUAAUAGCUGAAAUUGCCUAUUUGCUGGUUAUUUUAACCUUUUUCUUACUGUAGUAAGGUUAAUUUGACCAGGACUUGGGCUCAGGUUAUACAGUAUAUCCACCUAGGACGUCUUGGUCAAAUAUAACCAGAUCCAGGUUACAUUAACCGACUAUGGUAGGAAGCAGACCCUGAAAUAACGGUCGGACAUUUUCCGACCAAAUCGCAAUUUUUCCGACCAAAUUUUGUCCGGACAAAGAAUAUUGCAAUCAACCUUCUUGAAAGACUGGGUUAACCAUAAGCUGCAUGCGAUCCUCCCACAAAGAAUAAAUGCAAAAUAUUUAACUACACUUGCUAGUGCUUGGCAUGGAAUCGAAAAAAUGUCCAACCAAGUUUGAUAGUUUCCCAUCAAAUUUCAUUUUGGUUGGACAUUUUGCGGACAAAUUUUGAAUGUUAUUUCAGGCUCUGGGAAGUGAGAUAAAAUAACCAGAAUGACGUCCAAUACCUACAAUUUUACACUUACAUUAAAUACCUAAGAUAUUACUCUAGUUACAUAUAUAGAGCUCACUGUCAUAAGUAUACAUACGAUAAGAGCUAGGAGCUCAGCUCUGGGGUUGGUCAGCCUCGGAUUAGUGUUUGCUAUGUCGCUGAAACGCUGGGAAAUUGUGCUAAGUUAGGAAUGUCAAAGAGAUCACAAACGCCUUCUGAGCUUGUGAGGUUGAACGUGUAGUCGGAGUCACCAGCUGGCGGUGAGAGCUGUAAUAGUGGAGCAUAGUCU